CGGGAAGUUACUCAAGGUGGAGGAGGACAGAACAAGAUGGAGUCGGCUGAGUUGCCUGCUCCAGGUUGAUGGAUUAUCUGUCCACGGUGUUCUGCUACAGCCCCAGGAACUGUCCUUCCUAUGCUCUCAGAUGACUCACCGUGCUGACCUCUUACUGAUCUCACUGGCUCCCACUGAUCCCAUCUGUGCGUCACUGGCCAUGAUCCUAAUUGGCACCAUGAGCAAUGCCCACGCACGGGCAGAAAGAGCCCACAGGUCCUUAUGAGGAUGAAGAAAAGAGCCAACCUGCAAGCCACACACAGUUGUGCAACAGGCUAGCUCUGCCAGUCCCCUGCUCAGAACACAGUAUCUGUAUACUCCCUACUGGCUGGGGUUAGAGCCGUUCGUAACUGGGCCCCAGUCUUUCCAGUCGUCAGUCUCACUAGAUUUUUUGUAUCUGUGCCCCCCACCAAAUGUUACUGGAACCAGCCUUGCUAUGCUCCACCUUUGUGUCUUUGCUUCGGACUGAUCUGUUAUGUUCAUUACGUAAGGAGGCCAUUAGACGGAGGUGGCUCUAAGGCCUUGGCAGCCUAUGUAAGCAAAGCCAAACCUAAGCCUGUAAACAAAAGCCUCCUAACUAAGAAAUCAAAACCUAAGUACAACCAGCCAUAAACAGACAACGAGGCUUCUCUACAUAAGGCAACCACUUAAGCUACAGCGUAUUGAUAAUUUCCUUGCUUUGCUUCCUGCACCUUCUCCAUAAAAACCUUGUGCCCCUUGGUGGAGCACCUCUAGCCACUUCUGGCUCGGCACUACUUGAUUCUAAUCAAUGUUUGUGCAAAUAAAAAUGAAAAAUGUUGACAUGUCCCAGUUUACCUUUUAACAGUUCCUUCAGCUUGGAAGGCUUUUCUGCCUUAUAUCUGCCUGUCAAAAUUCUUCUGAACUCCUAGGCUCAGUGAAACGUCACCUUCUCCAAAGAGCUUGCUCCCGGGCCUAGAUGUGGUUACUCCUUCCGUCCCUCGCCAGAGCAUCACAUGAGGUCAUGUGGGUGGGCACGAGGACCGGGCUGCACACAUCCUGACAUCACCGGGACCCCAGGCAAAAUAUGGAAGGUCUAGGCCUCGGUCUCCUCCUGUGCGUGAGGAGGAGGAGCCUUAUGUGUGAGGAGCAGAAGAAUUAAUCCACAUGAAGGGCUUUGAAAAGUGCUCAACAAUUAGAAAGCAUUUAGUAAAUAUCGAUUUGACUGUUUCAUUAAAUAGGCUGCUUUUGUUAAAUGGGCAAUGAAGAAGGUACUUUAUUUCUCUAACUGUUCCUACAAAGCCACUCCACAGAUUCGUGGCUGUCUGCCCCUCUGAGGAAGCGCCAGGCAGGUCCCAUCAUGUUUCUGGUUACUUUUCAAUACCAAAAGUCCAAUCCAAAGUGUGAUAAUCAAACAAUUCUUGGGUAUCAGUCGAAUCGUCAACGUCCUAAAUGUCUACUACCUUGAAGGGUCCCCUUGUCCUACCUUUCGCUAGCUGGACAAUCUGCUACGGGCACAGGACAUGCCUGGUCCCCCCGUGUCACUACUGUUCACUGGCCGGUGCCGUGUGCGGGGCAGUGGGUCAGUCUUCUGGGGCUGCCAUGAUAAAAUGCCACAGAAUGGGGGGCUUACACAACAGAAAUCUAUUGGCUCACUGUUCUGGAAGCUCAAAGUCCAAGAUGGAAGUGCUAGUGGAUUUAGUUUUUCCUAAGGCCUCUCUCCUUGACUUGCAGAUGCCUGCCUUCUCUCUGUGUCCUCACACGAUCUUUUCCUCUGUGCACGUGCACCCCAGUGACUCUUGUGCAUUCAGAUGUGCUCUUCUCAUAAAGACACCAGUUGUAUUAGAUUUGGACCCACCCCUAGUGGUCUUAUUUACCUUAAUUAGCCCUUUAAGGCUCUUAUCUCCAAAUACAGUCCCAUUCCGACAUUCUGGGAGUUAGGACCUCAACAUACGAAUUUCAGAAGAACACAAUUCAUCCCACAACAGGCAAGAAGGAAAGGUAUGGGGACAAGAAAGGUCUUUCUUGCAUGGACAGUUGCGUCGGGCUUUGGUGGUCUCAGCACGUGGCAGAUGUCCAGACUGGACUCUUUCUGUCGUGGACAGUCAUGCAUGGUCCUCACAGAUCUCUCAUAGGACCUUCCACUAGAGAUCCAUUUAAGCAGCCAUGUCUCUGCCCUAGCUGGCUGCUUCCAACUCCCCACUCAGUCCCCUGGGCUUUGGGUGUCUGUCCCACUGUCGAGUCCAGGCAGGCCUUUUGGAGGAGUUCUGUUUUACAAUGCUGUCUGAUCCUCCCAGGACUGCACGCAUUGCCCUGUCAUUGAUGGAUACACAGCUUGCUCCCAAUGCAACCAUUGUUCUCCCUCCUGCCCCCUCCAACCGGACCUGAAAGAUGGAUGUCUCAGGCGGGUGUGACACAAAACCUGAUGUCCUCUAGACCUCCGGGGACAUAUGCCAGGCACAUAUUCUCUGGUGACUUUCCCUUUCAGUCCUCCAUAUAAGUACCCCAGACUUCGUCAACCUCAACCCUCAGUAGAUAUUUGCUAAGGUGAAUUUGAGCAUGGUAUGUGCAGAGUUUCACUCUGCUACCUCUCUGCACAAGCAGGGUCAGGUCCAGGGGUUGGUUACUUUCUCUCAAAUCUGGUCUGCAGAGUUGACAUUUGUCAUCCUUGCUGAGGUAUAUCACAGAGAGGGCAUACAGGGAGAAAGCAGCAAAGGAGGGCAUUUUCUAGGAAGUAGCAACAUUUAUUAUCUUGAUUUGCUUUGGAAGUUAUUUUAGAGAGGCAUAUAUUACCAGCUGGUUCCAGAGUAUGCUUUGCUGAUGUGGCAGGAUACUUAUUUAAGAGUUGUAAAUUUAUGUUUUAUUUCUUCUGUAAGAAACAGGUGGUACUUCUUUGCUUAAAGGAAGGUUUACAGCAGAUUGCAAGCAGACAUUGCCUGCAAACCAUCUCCUCGUAGAUUUGUUUUUCAAAUGCCUAAAUCCAUUGAGGGGAAGGGGCUUGAGAGAGAAAGAACCUCUGAGGGAAGCCUGAAGGUCAGGGUGGGUUUCAAGACCAGCUUAGGACAACCAGAAGUGCUGGGGUCAUGAGAGUAACAGAUAUUCAUGUGCUGGUUCCUGACAGUGUCUUGGGGAUGUGAAAGGAACUCAGAGGGAUGGGCUUCGUGGGGCAUCAGAAAGACUUAGCCAGGUUCCUCACUCCCCAUCCUCCCAAAGACACUUUUCUUUCAAAUGCGGCACAAACAAUACCACAGUGGGCCAGACAGGGUCAUGGGAGCUGGCACAAAGGACAUCUCAGUGAUUCUCAGUGUGGACAGAUGACCAAUGAUGGUAGGGGCCCCCCAGUAUGUUGGUGGAACCCAAAACCCUGGUCCUUUGCCUUCUUCUGGGGUUGAGUAGAACAGGGUGCAGCUCCAAGAAGAAGUUUAAUUUUCCUUGGAUCUUGAAGCAGUACAUAGGCUGAGUUAUAGAAAAUGCAGACUUUUAGUAUUUCUCACAUCCUAGAGUUUGGGGACUGAGAUUCACUUCCAUUGUAUUAUUUCAGAAAAGAGAUUUAUUUGGUCUUGAGUUUUUUCCCCAAGAUAUCCAGCUUGGUCAAGGAGCAGAGGAUUUCUAGCAACAUGGACACGGUCACCAUCUAGUGGUUAUACAACAUAAUAGUAUUUGUCUACAGACCGAAGAGAAGCUCAAUAUUCUGUAUUUUGCUCGUCUCUGGAGAAAUUCAAAAUAGGAGAAAGAUAGUACAUAAAAUAAUAAAGAUGGGAAAGAUUACCUAUUCCACAAACAGGGUUUCUAACGAGGUCGAAAACUGGAGAGGUGAAACAAUAGAGUAGCAUUAUAAUUCUAGGGUCUCCCAGCCCCUCUAGAAAUUACAAGCAUUUAAAUAAAUGUGUUAGUAAGUUUACAGAGUAAGGAAAAUAUAUAUAAUGAAAUCAUCAUGAUUAUCAAGUAAUUCCCCAACCCCGUUCCUAUAAUUUCCAGGCAAGAAUUGCUGUAACUUGCAUGGGGAAGGGCAGUGCAGGCGUGUGGAAUGAACAUUGUGUUAAAAGUCCAUGCUUAUGUUCUGGUGUUUCCCAACAUCCAUUCUCCACUUCUUUAGAAAUAUAUCCCCUGAUUUUUAGCUGUCAAAUUAAAUUGCAGAAUAAAGAAUAAAGAUCGAAUUUCCCAGCCUUUCCUGCUGGUGGGAGACUAGAACUUUGUUCUAUUCUUAUCUGUAACUGGGUCUGAGUAGCUGGAAACGUGAGCAUGAUGGCUGAAGCUCAAGGAACCAUUCUGAAUGGAGAAGCGGAAGAAUUUGUUGAAGAUGGCAGACCAUUAAGAGAGAAGUUUCCGGGGGUCUUUGAUAAUUAAUGAGCUGCCAUGCCAACCCUAUACUGUUUAUCUCCAGACUUACUUUACAUGAAAGACAAAUACAUUCCUAUCUUGUUUAAUGUAGCAUCUGAUACCUGGAAAUGGCUUUUUGAACAUCGCAGAAAGUAAAUUAUUAGUAAUGAUUUAUUGGAAGUGGUAAAGAAGAAGGCAGUGAGGAUUCAGACACUGCCAACUGAAAACAUGAGAUCUCUGUUACUCAGCAAAAUGUUAGUUAAAGGUCACCCGCUGUGCUCUGAAAGGCUGUAGAGCAAACUGAGGCUGCAACUUUCAUUAAAAAUUUUCUGCCAGACCAUGGAAGACAGUACAUUGUCAGAAAUCAGCUGAAGAAAGCUGUCUUCAUACCCACACGUGGUUUCAGAGGCUAUAAAGUAGACCUCCAUUCAGUUAAGCCAUUUUGAGCUGGUUUCAGAGUAUAGAAACUAGGAAAUCAAACAACCAUUAAAACAAAGUCUAGAAGAGUUGUGAUGGGCUCUUGGGUAAUGGUGGCUGCUUGAGUCUGACGUCUCCACAUAUCCUUCCCCCAACCCAUAAAGUCAUCUUGGAGCACAAACGACAUCACGCAUGCUCCAAACCUGCAGCAUCACUAGGAGACUAUCCCAAACUCCAAAUUGUAAACAAAGCAUUAAGCACCUUAUAUCAACAGAGAUAUUGUGGGAGCAUCUGUGGGGAGGUGAGCUGGGAGAAGGAAGUCUUGCCACCGUGGGGAAGGCAUCAGCAAGGGCUGGGACAGGGAGGGUACCAAAGCCUCAGAGGAGAUGGUUUCUAGAGAAACAGAUAAAGAAAGAAAUGCCGGAGGAGGGAAGGAAAGCAAUUAGAGGCAUGAGGAUUGGAACAGAAGUAAAACUAUGUUUUUAUGUAGCUGACGUGAUAAUAUAACUGGAAACUCUAAAUAAUAAUGCUUAGAGCAAUGCAAAAAACUGCAAGAAUCUAGCACUGUGGCAGGAUGUACAAUUAACACGUGCAAAACCAAUCGCCUUGAAGGGCGUAUCACCUCUGCCAUAUUAUUCUUUUCCCAAACCCAUAACCCGAGUCUGGGUGCAAGAAAAAUAUUAGACAAAUCCAAAUUGAGGGGCAUUCAGCAAAAUGCCUGACUAGUACUCCCCAAAACUGUCAUGGUCAUGAAAUAUCAGGAAAGAUAAAAAAAAAUUGUCACAGACUGGAGGAGACUAAGGAAACAGGACUACUAAGGGUACCGUCGUAUUCUGGGCAGGAUCCCAGAACAGAAGGGACAUUAGGGGAAAAGCUAGUGAUAUCCAAAUAAAGUCUGAUUUUGGCAGCAGUGUAGAAAUGCUGGUUUUUUAGUUUAGACAAACAUAACAUGGUAAUUGUGAGAUGUUCACCCUGGGGAAACUGGGUAUGGUGUAACUUUUCCAUAAAGCUAAAACUACUCUAAAACUAAAAGUGUAUUACAAAGAAUAAAUGGCCUUCAUAUACCCAAAUAAUAACCAGUUAGAAGAGAACCCCUAGGAACAAUAACUGCAAAAAAAUUAAAUACUUAAGAAUAAAUAAUCAGAAAUGUGCCGAAUCCAAAUGAAGAAAACAAUAAAAAUUCUCAAAAGGACACAAAAUUAGCCUCAAACCCAUGUAAAGAUAUCCCCGUUCUUGAAUGGAAGGAUUCAACAUGAUCCCCACAAGUAGAUCUAUAAAUUUAUCUCAAUCCCAAUAAGAAAUCUCGACAGGCUUUUGUUAUGA